CCCUACGGGGGGCAGCAGUGAGGAAUAUUGGUCAAUGGUCGGGAGACUGAACCAGCCAAGCCGCGUGAGGGAUGAAGGUACAGAGUAUCGUAAACCUCUUUUGUCAGGGAACAAAGGCGGGGACGUGUCCCCGGAUGAGUGUACCUGAAGAAAAAGCAUCGGCUAACUCCGUGCCAGCAGCCGCGGUAAUACGGAGGAUGCGAGCGUUAUCCGGAUUCAUUGGGUUUAAAGGGUGCGCAGGCGGUCUGUUAAGUCAGCGGUCAAAGCCCGGGGCUCAACCCCGGGCCGCCGUUGAAACUGGCAGG
rnacentral:rRNA from 1 species